rnacentral:tRNA from 2 species
GGUUGUUUGGCCGAGCGGUCUAAGGCGCCUGAUUCAAGUUCUCAGGUAUCGUAAGAUGCAAGAGUUCGAAUCUCUUAGCAACCA